rnacentral:rRNA from 1 species
UUUAAAGAGAGUUUGAUCCUGGCUCAGGACGAACGCUGGCGGCGUGCCUAAUACAUGCAAGUCGAACGAACGGAGGAAGAGCUUGCUCUUCCAAAGUUAGUGGCGGACGGGUGAGUAACACGUGGGCAACCUGCCUGUAAGUUGGGGAUAACUCCGGGAAACCGGGGCUAAUACCGAAUGAUAAAGUGUGACGCAUGCCAUGCUUUUGAAAGAUGGUUUCGGCUAUCGCUUACAGAUGGGCCCGCGGUGCAUUAGCUAGUUGGUAGGGUAAUGGCCUACCAAGGCAACGAUGCAUAGCCGACCUGAGAGGGUGAUCGGCCACACUGGG